UAGUGGAAAAAACACAUUUUAAAUCAGGGAUUUUAAAUCAGCUGCCAUCCACCUGAUUUAAAAUGUUAAGAUCAUGGGACACGCUGGGAAUUUUAAAAAUUGAAGUGAUAUUAAGUCAGGCCACCUGACUUAAAAACAUUUCAUAAUUAAAAUAAAAAUAUAAUAAUUAAUAAAAUAGAAAAUGAAAGAUGGUUCGCGACCUUCUCCCUCAACACGGACAAAUCCGAACCCUAAACGCCUCUCCGCCCCGAACUUCUCCCUCUUUGCAACGAAGCCCUAAACGCCUCUCCACGAAUCCCCUCUCUCCGAUGCAUCUCGGCGAACCUUCCUUCCUCUGCGACGAAAUCCUUUCUACUACCACCGGUGACUUUGUUCUUCCGACUCGUUGUUCAGAGUUUUCAAGGUUAAAUCGGUUUUCCUUUCGAUUCUAGUCUUCUCAUUCUUCAAUAGAUUAUGAUUCUAAUUUUCCUUUUGUUUUGCUUCAUUUUGGUUUCGGAGUUUUCAAGGGUUUUUCAACAGUUCUCUUCGUUGUUGCCGCCAUCAUCACGUUCAAGUCUUAAUCAAUAUGUAUCCCUAUUUCUUCAGUUAUACAUUUUAUGGAUAUGGUUAUACUUGAAGAACCAAUAGAGAGUCAGACACCAUUCUAUCAAAGGAAUUUUCAUAAGUUUUGUUUGCUUCAAUGGCACUAUCAAUAGUCAUACACCAUUUAUUGCAUUUCCUGUUAUGUUUUUAUGGAAUAAUUGACAAUUGGCAUGACUUAGUUUUUGCAAGGAGUUGAAAAAAUUAAGAGUUAAAGAUUGUGCAGUAUAGAGAGGCUCGAUAGAAGAACACUAGUAAGGUUUAUGAUGCCAUCAUCAACCGAAAAGUAUGUAGAUUGGAAUAAAGACUCAUUUUUUAAAUUAAUUAUAUCUUUAUAGGUGAAAAAAACGAUCAUAUCUAACUCUUAAAUGCCACCAUCUUUGUUUCAUUGUAGAGAAGGCUGAUGUUUAAGUUUCAAUUUCCCAUCUUGGCUGAUUGCUAGUUAACUAUGUGUUGAAUUAAAAGGUCUGAGGACAUCCCUGUGGAAAUAUGGAGAUGAUUGAUUCAACCCAGCGAUUUUAAGAAUGGUCUCCCGAAACCAACUUAUGAGUUAACUGUUAAAGGAGGAGACAAAGUUAAGCAUACAAAUAGAAGGAAUCGAGGUUACAAGUACAAAUUUGUAACUUUAUGAUUUAUAAUUGAUGAUUCUAGGUAUAUGAUAUUAACUCUACAUUAUGGAAUGAUUUUAGUAUAUAUAAGUAUAAUUUAUGCUAUUAGGUGUAUGGUACUCUAUUAUUAUAGUAUGAUGAUUUUAGUGUAGAAGUAUAAUUUUG